AAUGAACGUUGGCGGCGUGGAUUAGGCAUGCAAGUCGAGCGAGAACCCGCAAGGGGGACAGCGGCGAACGGGGUAGGAUAACGUAGGUAACGUACCCUCGGGGCGAGGACAGCCACGGGAAACUGUGGGUAAUACUCGAUAAUCUUCCCAGUCUUGAUUGGCGGGGAAGCAAUGGGUGUGAUUCCACCUGAGGAGCGGCUUACGCAGUAUCAGCUUGUUGGUGAGGUAACGGCUCACCAAGGCUAUGACGCUUAGGGGAUGUGAGAGCAUGAUCCCCACCACUGGCACUGAGACACUGGCCAGACACCUACGGGUGGCUGCAGUCGAGAAUCUUCGGCAAUGGACGCAAGUCUGACCGAGCGACGCCGCGUGCGGGAUGAAGGCCUUCGGGUUGUAAACCGCUGUCAGAGGGGAUGAAGUGUACGGGAGUUAUCUCCUGUAUUUGACAGAGCCUCAGAGGAAGCACGGGCUAAGUUCGUGCCAGCAGCCGCGGUAAUACGAACUGUGCGAACGUUAUUCGGAAUCACUGGGCUUAGGGUGCGUAGGCGGCUGCCUAAGUCAGGUGUGAAAUCUCUCGGCUCAACCGGGAAACUGCGCUUGAUACUGGGCGGCUAGAGUGAGGUAGGGGUGUGUGGAACUUCCGGUGGAGCGGUGAAAUGUGUAGAUAUCGGAAGGAACGCCAGCAGCGAAAGCGGCACACUGGGCCUUUUCUGACGCUGAGGCACGAAAGCUAGGGGAGCGAACGGGAUUAGAUACCCCGGUAGUCCUAGCCGUAAACACUGAACACUCGAGGAGGGGGGCUUCGGCCUUCUUCCUCUUAGCGAAAGCGUUAAGUGUUCCGCCUGGGGAGUAUGGUCGCAAGGCUGAAACUCAAAGGAAUUGACGGGGGCUCACACAAGCGGUGGAGCAUGUGGCUUAAUUCGAGGCAACGCGAAGAACCUUAUCCUGGGCUUGACAUGCAUAGAUCAACCUCCUGAAAGGGAGGCCACACUCGCAA
rnacentral:rRNA from 1 species